GAUGAACGCUGGCGGCGUGCCUAAUACAUGCAAGUCGAGCGAACAGAUGAGGUGUUUGCUCCUCUGACGUUAGCGGCGGACGGGUGAGUAACACGUGGAUAACCUAUCUAUAAGACUGGGAUAACUUCGGGAAACCGGAGCUAAUACCGGAUAAUAUAUUGAACUGCAUGGUUCAAUAGUGAAAGACGGUUUUGCUGUCACUUAUAGAUGGAUCCGCGCCGCAUUAGCUAGUUGGUAAGGUAACGGCUUACCAAGGCAACGAUGCGUAGCCGACGUGGGAGGGUGAUCGUCCACACUGGAACUGAGACACGGUCCAGACUCCUACGGGAGGCAGCAGUAGGGAAUCUGCCGCAAGGGGCGAAAGCCUGACGGAGCAGCAGCGCGUGAGUGAUGAAGGUCUUCGGAUCGGAAAACUCUGUUAUUAUGGAAGAACAAAUGUGUAAGUAGCUAGGCACGUCGUGACGGUACCGGAACAGAAAGCCACGGCUAACUACGUG
rnacentral:rRNA from 1 species